rnacentral:piRNA from 1 species
CCCCAGAGGAUCUGUUAUCACCCAUGUGAC